rnacentral:rRNA from 1 species
CUGAAGACCUUACCCGAUUAGCUGAGAGGUGGUGCAUGGCCGUCGUCAGUUCGUACUGUGAAGCAUCCUGUUAAGUCCAGGCAACGAGCGAGACCCACGUCCACAGUUGCCAGCAUACCCUCCGGGGUGAUGGGUACACUGUGGAGACCGCCGCUGCUAAAGCGGAGGAAGGAGUGGGCAACGGUAGGUCAGUAUGCCCCGAAUCUCCCGGGCUACACGCGGGCUACAAUGGUUGGUACAAUGGGCAUCUACCCCGAAAGGGGAAGGAAAUCUCUUAAAGCCAAUCGUAGUUCGGAUUGAGGGCUGCAACUCGCCCUCAUGAAGCUGGAAUCCGUAGUAAUCGCGUUUCAACAGAACGCGGUGAAUACGUCCCUGCUCCUU